AGCCUUUCUGGUUCAUUAGUGUGAUGACUGAGUGCUCUCGUUAUAUGAGAUCUGCCUCCCUUUAAACCUUGUUACCAUCUUGGCACGUUACCCAUCUGACA
rnacentral:snoRNA from 1 species